GAUGAACGCUAGCGGCAGGCCUAAUACAUGCAAGUCGAACGGUGUCUUCGGACAUAGUGGCGCACGGGUGCGUAACACGUAUGCAACCUACCUUACAUUGGGGGAUAGCCUUUCGAAAGGGAGAUUAAUACCGCAUAAGACAGUAACUAGGCAUCUAGUAGCUGUUAAAGAUUUAUCGAUGUAAGCUGGGCAUGCGUCCAAUUAGUUAGUUGGUGAGGUAACGGCUCACCAAGACGAUGAUCAGUAGGGGAACUGAGAGGUUGAUCCCCCACACUGGCACGGAGAUACGGGCCAGACUCCUACGGGAGGCAGCAGUAGGGAAUAUUGGUCAAUGGGUGAAAGCCUGAACCAGCCAUGCCGCGUGCAGGAAGACGGCCUUCUGGGUUGUAAACUGCUUUUGCCAGGGGAUAAAAUACCCAUGCGUGGGGAAUUGAAGGUACCUGGUGAAUAAGCCACGGCUAACUACGUGCCAGCAGCCGCCGUAAUAC
rnacentral:rRNA from 1 species